AGAUUAAAGGGGGAAAACAAGGAAUUAAGUUAAGGUUGAAACGAGGACACCGUCCCAUUGCUAUCGGGAGCCGAUCACUGCACUCCACCUGGAGGUCAGUCUCAACCCAAGGCAUCCGUUCCUCCUAUGUCAACCUCAGGGUGUCCAGGCACUUAGAUGAAGGCAACUCAUUUUACGGAGUUUUGCUAAACUUUUGAUUUUGUACCCUGAUUGUCUGUUUAAAGAGGAAGUGUUUGGAGGUUUGGGCCAAGGGAAGAGAAGUUGCUGGAUUGAGGGCUAGCUUGAAUGCAUUGAUGUCUGAAGUACAACGCUUGAAUAAAUUAUGUGCAGAGAGGAAGGAAGCUGAAGAUUCUUUGAGAAAGAAGUGGAAAAAGAUUGAAGAAUUUAAUGGCCGCAGAUCUGAACUUGAAUCCAUAUAUAAUG